ensembl:lncRNA
AUGGACAAACAGCAAUACCUGUUGGAGGCACAAAGACAGCUGAGCAAUAAACAGCAUUACAUACCUAUCACAGCCAGCCUGCAGUCACAAAUACAGACCAGGAUCCGCUCCAUCAUACAGCAACUGUACAUUGAGGGCUACAUCAAGAGCAAACAAAGAGAUUAUCUCUAUGGCCCCAAUGACCCAAGGAGCAGACAAUUCUACCUUCUGCCAAAAAUACACAAGGACCCUCAAACAUGGACAGUCCCUCACGAGGUGCCUCCAGGCAGACCCAUAGUGUCGGACUGUAACAGCUGCACUUACCACAUUUCACAGUACAUCGACUCUUUCCUCGGUCCUCUCUCCAGCAGACAUCCUAGUUACCUUAAAGACACCUACCACUUUCUGGAGGUCACCCGGAAUGUCAAGCUCCCAAGCAAUGCGAGACUUUUUACUAUAGAUGUAGAGAGCCUUUACACCAACAUCAACACAGACAUGGGCCUUAGAGCAGUCAGGGACAUUUUUGCUAGAUUUCCCGACCCCAGGAGACCCGAUCGACACCUCCUGGAGCUACUAGCAAUCUGCUUGAAAAAUAAUGAUUUUCAGUUUGGCACAAAUCUCUACUUACAGGUACAGGGGACAGCCAUGGGACAGCGAUACGCCCCCUCAUACGCAAACCUCUACAUGAGCGAGUGGGAGCGAGAGGCUUUGGCAAAGUGCCGACACAAACCAGCCUUGUAUUACAGAUUCCUGGACGACAUCGUGGGGGUCUGGACACAUGACCUGAAUAGCUUUUCAGAGUUUUUCCACACAUUAAACAACCAUCACCCCUCCAUUAAGUUGCAGUACACGUUACACGCAGAGCAGGUUAACUUUCUGGACACAACAGUAUUUUUUGCACCUACAACAGCUGGGGAGAAGAUCAUGUUGACUAAAGUCUACUUUAAGACAACAGACACGCAUGCUCUCCUCCACAAAACCAGCUACCAUCCAAAACAUACCUUCAGAGGCAUAGUGAAGUCACAAAUCAUUCGCUUCCACAGGAUUUGCUCUAGACACACAGACACCAUAGCGGCCAUACAGGAAUUGUUUCGAAGCCUCCGGCAGAGGGGGUACUCCAGGUCCUUCCUGAGGAGGAUAAAGAGGGAAACACUUUCAACUCUCGCUCCCACUCGCUCUUUUAACAGUUUGAAUAACAAUAUUGUCCAACAGCAGGCUAGCAGACCUCUAGAUGACGACACGCCCCAGUUGUUGCCAUUUGUAACCACCUUCUCCCACAGGCACUUGAAUCUGCAACAGGAAAUCAGGGCGAAUUUCCAGUCUCACCUGGUGCCACUCCCGGCCUUUAAAAAUCACAAAAUCAUUACAGCAUACAGGAAAAAUAAAAACCUCAAGGACCUACUGGUUCGAGCCAAAUUCAACCAGGAGCCACAGGGCCGACUGCAACCCUACCAUCACCACUUCAGAAGAAUCAAAUACAUCUCUAAUCCCCACAGUCGUUCGGCCGGUCCUGUGUCUGGGCUUUGUACGGUCCAUACCAGCAACAUAGUUUACAGCAUAACCUGCAACCAGUGCCAUAAAAUCUACAUUGGGGAAACAAAACAUGAUAUAGCGACCAGACUGCAGCAGCAUCUGUACACUAUUCAGAGAGGGCAACUCAAUAGAGAAUUGGUUAAGCACUUCCAAACCCAUUCAACCAAACACCUCACCAUUUCUGGCCUCGAAUGGCAGGCCAACUGGACGGAUGGGCAGCGGAAAAGAAGAGAGCGGUACUGGAUACAGAUGUUGGGCACCAUAGUGCCAACAGGCUUAAAUGAAAAACAAUAA